rnacentral:rRNA from 1 species
AUACGUAGGGAGCGAGCGUUGUCCGGAAUUACUGGGUGUAAAGGGAGCGUAGGCGGGACAGCAAGUUGGAUGUUUAACAUAUCGGCUCAACCGAUAUCUGCAUCCAAAACUGCAGUUCUUGAGUGAAGUAGAGGCAGGCGGAAUUCCUAGUGUAGCGGUGAAAUGCGUAGAUAUUAGGAGGAACACCAGUGGCGAAGGCGGUCUGCUGGGCUUUAACUGACGCUGAGGCUCGAAAGCGUGGGGAGCAAACAGGAUUAGAUACCCUGGUAGUCCACGCUGUAAACGAUGAUUACUAGGUGUGGGGGGACUGACCCCUUCCGUGCCGCAGUUAACACAAUAAGUAAUCCACCUGGGGAGUACGGCCGCAAGGCUGAA